ACAAGGUGAGGAUGACAGAGAACGAUACAAAUGUUAACAUGGUUUUGCUGGAUGAUAAUAUUUCUGCCAAAUCAUGACUGAUUACAAUGUUUUUCUUGGUUUUGUUUAAUAGCAGGAAGAUACACAAAUUCAAGCAUUUUCAUAGUGGAAAAUGAAGAAGAAUCAUCAGAACCAAUACCACCAGAACACAUCUGCCUGAAAACCCAGAGCAGCCCUAAGGAGACGGUGCUGACUGAAGAUGUCGACUAAAAGACAAAGUCACCACAGUUUAAGAUCUGACUUGAGUUUAAUCCAUUAUAAAUAGCACUCAAAGCAAC